CCGUGUCUGAAGCUGGCGUACAGGUCCUUCAGGCCCUCCCGCUCCCGCUGGAGACGCCUCCGUCUCCACCUCCCCCGGCACCGUCCUCCACCCCUCCCCCACCACCACCACCUCCACCACCACCACCACCACCACCACCACCUCCACCACCACCACCACCACCACAGGUUGCGGCCGCUCCACCGACGGUCGGGCUUCCAGCUCGGGCUCCGGCGCAGACCAGGGUGGAGCCUCGUGUCGUCUCCGUGGAGGAGACGCCGUGCAGGGAGGCCACCCUGGCGCCGGGGCCCGAGAAGAAGAGGAGGAAGACGACGACGGGCGACGUGGAGCAGCCGGCAACGCCCGCUCCUGCUCGGGCUGAGGUACAGACACGCCCGUCGUACUCACAGACACAAGACUCGGUGGCGACGACCGUCAGACUGCGUACGUAGCAGCGACUCGGGCUCCUCACGGUGUGUUUGUCUGUGUUGUCUUCAUCCUCCUCACGGUGUGUUUGUCUGUGUUGUCUUCAUCCUCCUCACGGUGUGUUUGUUUGUGUUGUCUUCGUCCUCCUCACAGACCCGGUUGGCUGAGGGCUGGCGGACAGCCCUCACCGGGGAAGAGCAGGAGCUGAACAGUAGGACCCUCUCGCUGGGGUUCACCCGGACGCAGCGAGAGAAGGAGAGGGCUGUGUUGACUUCAGGCGUUGCAGCAGACGGAGGACGACCACCGGCGGCGGCCGCGGCGACAGCGCCGGGCCCGGCCUCAGCGGCGGCGGUGGAUCGUCCGGCGGCAGCAGCGACGUCGGCGGUGCCUCAAGGCCGGGCGACGCCAGCGGCAGCGAGGGGGGCGGCGGUGGCCCCGGCAGCGGCCCCGGCUGUGGCAGCACCGGGGCCCGCUCUGCCGGCGCCCAGACGGCUACUGGCGCCUCGACAGCCCGCCCCCUCGGCUGCUUACCCGGCCUUCCUGCCGACGGCUGCUGCCGCAGCUGCAACUGGACCUUUAAGAGCAGCACAGCCUCUCCUUGUGGACCUCUUACUGCCCCGGCAGAGUGUGUGGGUGCUCCCCGUCCCCGUCCUGACGCUCCCUCGGACACUGCCGGCUCCACACGUCCUCCCUCCGCCGCUGGCCGCCGCACAGCACGCCGGCCCUGAGCUGCCUGUAGCCCUGCCCGCCGCGCAGCACGCCGGCCCUGAGCUGCCGGUAGCCCUCAAAACGGUAGAAUGGAGGAGGCUGAACGCCAAGCGGCGGGCGGAGGCACAGCCGGGCACAACCUACUCCUCCCGGGCCGGCGUGCCACAGGUGCAUAAGUGCAGUAAAUGCGGCCAGCCGAGGCGGAGGGAGACCGGACACUCCCGCCACGGCGGAGAAUACUUCUGCUCCGUCGCGGCGGGUCAGAGUGUGGAGGACUGGCUGAGGGAGAAGAAGGAGCGGGACCAGGGUGGAGCCCCGCACUGAUGCGCACUCUUGCCGGGGAUGGUGUUGUACAUAGUUCUCUUUUGUAUAUAGUUGUUUUUCUGUUGUGUGUGUAUAUAGUUAUUUUGCAGUGUUAGUGUAUAUAGUUGUUUGCUGUAUAUAGUUUUCAUUUUGCAGGGUUAUUGUGUAUAGUUCUUUGUUUUGUUGGAUAGCUUCUAAGUUAGUGCACACACUGCCAUAUAUAUAUAUACUGUUUAUGAAUGAAUAAAAAAAUAAGUAUUCUCUUUCUACGGUACAUGCUUGUCCCUUGUUUGUUUUUCUUCUUUAGCAAAAAGUCCACAAUAAUAAUAACGGGCGAUCGCGUCAAAUGACGUAGGACACGAAUGUUCAAGAACCUUCCUACGUCAUUUGACGCGAUCGCCCGUUUCCCGGCAACAGACGAUCGCGUCUGUUGCUAUUCGAUUAAACAAUUAAAUACAAUACAAAUAUAAAGUAAAAACAAGUGUUAACUAGCGAGCCGUUAUCUGUAUUAUGUUAUUUCGUCUUUUGGAACCUGCCCGGCAACAGACGAUCGCGUCGUCUGUUGCCAGGCAGGUUGUCAAGAUGUAAACAACUGAUGACGUAGGCCGGUAAAAUUUUCGCCCCCCGGUACAAUUUUAACGUGACACAGCCCGCUGGGAGAACAACCAUAGACAUCUUAUAGAUGUCUAUGGUUGUUCUCAUCUAUAAGAUGUCUAUGAGAACAACCAUAGACAUCUUAUAGAUGUCUAUGGUUGUUCUCAUCUAUAAGAUGUCUAUGAGAACAACACCCUGGCGUGACAGAACACCCUGGCGUGACGGAAGUACUGUGGAUGGCCGGAAGUUACCUCCGAUUAUUUUCUAUAGACAAAUAAACGUAUUUAUCGCUUGAAUUAACAAAAUAAAUAAAAAAAUAUUUCGACACGUUAGUAACCAUUCUUAUAGCUUAGAAAAGGUUUUUUAACGUUAUUUAGACAAAUACCUCAGGAUUAUUUGCGUUAUUGAACUUAGACCAAAAAUAUUUAAAUAAUAAAACAAUAUUAUGACAUGUCAGUAACCAUUUUUAUAGCUUAGCUUAUAGCUCUGACAUUCGUUACUGUCAAUU
rnacentral:lncRNA from 1 species